rnacentral:rRNA from 1 species
GAUGAACGCUGGCGGCGUGCCUAAUACAUGCAAGUCGAGCGAACGGACGAGAAGCUUGCUUCUCUGAUGUUAGCGGCGGACGGGUGAGUAACACGUGGAUAACCUACCUAUAAGACUGGGAUAACUUCGGGAAACCGGAGCUAAUACCGGAUAAUAUUUUGAACCGUAUGGUUCAAAAGUGAAAGACGGUCUUGCUGUCACUUAUAGAUGAAUCCGCGCUGCAUUAGCUAGUUGGUAAGGUAACGGCUUACCAAGGCAACGAUGCAUAGCCGACCUGAGAGGGUGAUCGGCCACACUGGAACUGAGACACGGUCCAGACUCCUACGGGAGGCAGCAGUAGGGAAUCUUCCGCAAUGGGCGAAAGCCUGACGGAGCAACGCCGCGUGAGUGAUGAAGGUCUUCGGAUCGUAAAACUCUGUUAUUAGGGAAGAACAUAUGUGUAAGUAACUGUGCACAUCUUGACGGUACCUAAUCAGAAAGCCACGGCUAACUACGUGCCAGCAGCCGCGGUAAUACGUAGGUGGCAAGCGUUAUCCGGAAUUAUUGGGCGUAAAGCGCGCGUAGGGCGGUUUUUUAAGGUUUGAUGUGAAGCCCCACGGCUCAACCCGUGUGAGGGUCAUUGGAAACUGGAAAACUUGAGUGCAAAAGAGGAAAGUGGAAUUUCCAUGUGUAGCGGUGAAAUGCGCAGAGAUAUGGAGGAACACCAGUGGCGAAAGGCGACUUUCUGGUCUGUAACUGACGCUGAUGUGCGAAAGCGUGGGGAUCAAACAGGAUUAGAUACCCUGGUAGUCCACGCCGUAAACGAUGAGUGCUAAGUGUUAGGGGGUUUCCGCCCCUUAGUGCUGCAGCUAACGCAUUAAGCACUCCGCCUGGGGAGUACGACCGCAAGGUUGAAACUCAAAGGAAUUGACGGGGACCCGCACAAGCGGUGGAGCAUGUGGUUUAAUUCGAAGCAACGCGAAGAACCUUACCAAAUCUUGACAUCCUUUGACAACUCUAGAGAUAGAGCCUUCCCCUUCGGGGGACAAAGUGACAGGUGGUGCAUGGUUGUCGUCAGCUCGUGUCGUGAGAUGUUGGGUUAAGUCCCGCAACGAGCGCAACCCUUAAGCUUAGUUGCCAUCAUUAAGUUGGGCACUCUAAGUUGACUGCCGGUGACAAACCGGAGGAAGGUGGGGAUGACGUCAAAUCAUCAUGCCCCUUAUGAUUUGGGCUACACACGUGCUACAAUGGACAAUACAAAGGGCAGCGAAACCGCGAGGUCAAGCAAAUCCCAUAAAGUUGUUCUCAGUUCGGAUUGUAGUCUGCAACUCGACUAUAUGAAGCUGGAAUCGCUAGUAAUCGUAGAUCAGCAUGCUACGGUGAAUACGUCCCCGGGUCU